AUGGUUGUAGAGUUAAAAGAUGUUACUGACCGUUACCAGCUUCUUGAAGAAGAAAUCCGGGCGAAGGCGACGGACCUGGAAAAAGCCCCGGUUGCUGCCAAGGAAGCCCGCUCCAAAAUUAGAGCAGCGAAGGAGGAGCUGCAUCAAGCUGCGGAUAUUGUAUCUGGGAAACCCUUCUUGUUGCGGACUAAGUUCGGGGAUCUGAAGUAUGCACCUCUGGACCGGCUAUGGAGUUCUGCGGACGCCUACGUGGAUUUGGCUGCAAGUGCUGCUGAUGCCGCCGAGUACUUUAAGGAUCGGAAAGAUCAAGAAGUGGAAAAACUGUUUUGGUCACAGUUUCAUGCUCCAGCCCGUCCGCUGCUGUUGAAUGAGCAAAUGGCCGAGUGGGCCGAGCUCCAUAGGUUAUCCGGACUUGCCAUGAGGUCCGUUGUGGAUCAUCUGUGGCCGAAGGGGUGA
rnacentral:rRNA from 1 species